UACGUAGGCAGCGAGCGUUGUUCGGAAUUACUGGGCGUAAAGAGUGUGUAGGCGGUGCUCUAAGUUCGGUGUGAAAUCUCCUGCUUAACUGGGAGGGUGCGCCGGAAACUGGAGUGCUCGAACGUGGGAGAGGAAAGCGGAAUUCCUGGUGUAGCGGUGAAAUGCGUAGAUAUCAGGAGGAACACCUGCGGUGUAGACGGCUUUCUGGACCAUUGUUGACGCUGAGACACGAAAGCGUGGGGAGCAAACAGG
rnacentral:rRNA from 1 species